CGCAGUUCAUCAGUAAUAAGAGAGCCAGAGAGCGCUGAGGAGCAUCGGCAGAGGAGAUUCAGCAGAGAGUGAGCGAGAGAAAGAGAGUGGAGAGCAGUCAGCAGCAGCAGCGAUGCAAAAAGUCAGCAGCACAAAGCUCCAGUUGAAAAACGAUAAACGUCGGGAUAACGAAUCUUUAUUUGAGGAACUCAAGCCAUCACUUAUUGGCUCCAUCGGAUCGCGCAGAUUGAGUGUAAACAUCGAAAAAUUGUACGAUUCAAUGAAUUCGUGAUUAUCGUUCGAGAACGAAAAUAAAUAGAAAAAUUAAAUAAAGUAAAAACAGUGACGAAUAAGCAGGGGGUAAAGAGAAAGAGCGAGAAAAAAGUGUUUUCUGGAUGCGCGUUUGGUUGUGCGCGUUGCUGUUAAAUUCACAUACGCAUAUAAUAUUCCCUCUCGCUCUUCGAGAGUGAGGGAGGGAGAGGGAGAGAGAGAGAGAGAGAAAGACCCUGUGAGUUUAGCAGGCAAGACAGGGCAAAACUAGACUUUAAAGAGUAGUGAGGGUGGAGAAGGAGGGAGAGGAGUGUGGAGGGGUGGGGGAAGUGAGUGAGAGAGAAAGAAGGGCAGUGCGGAUGACAAUGAUGGCCGCCACCAGCGAGGAACGGAGUGUUAUGGAGACUUCGAGAACAAAUUCGGAACAAAAUCAGCCUGUCGAUCGUCUCAAGAUGUUAUAUCCAAUGGUAAACGAAGAGGAAACACCCUUACCAAGAUCGUGGAGCCCUAAGGACAAGUACAACUAUAUAGGACUUUCCCUAAAUAAUCUUCGAGUUAAUUACAAAGGUUAUGGAAAGACACACAAAGACGCUGCCAGUGUUCGCACAACGCACUCCAUACCGGCCGCAUGUGGCCUCUAUUAUUUCGAGGUGAAAAUAGUGAGCAAAGGACGGGACGGUUACAUGGGGAUCGGGCUCUCGGCUCACGGUGUAAACGUCAACAGACUUCCAGGAUGGGACAAACAUUCUUACGGCUAUCACGGUGACGAUGGCCACAGCUUUUGCUCAUCCGGCACAGGACAACCCUACGGACCGACGUUCACGACCGGUGAUGUUAUCGGAUGCGGUGUUAAUCUCGUUGAUAACACCGCAUUUUACACGAAGAACGGUCAUCAUCUCGGUAUUGCCUUCACAGAUUUACCGCCAAAUCUGUAUCCGACCGUGGGUCUCCAAACACCCGGUGAGAUGGUCGAUGCCAAUUUUGGUCAGGCGCCAUUCGUUUUUGACAUCGGUGACAUGAUAAACGAGUUGCGAGUACGAACGAGAUUGCAGAUAAUAAAUUAUCCAACACCUGAUCACGGGCAGGGACAGUGGCAAGCUGUACUUCACAAAAUGGUCUCGACGUAUCUCGUCCAUCACGGCUACUGCGCCACUGCCGAAGCUUUCGCCAGCAGUACCGGACAAACCUUCGAUGAAGAUCUUAACUCCAUUAAAAAUAGACAAAGAAUUUUAAAACUCGUGCUCGCCGGGCGAAUGGGCGAAGCGAUAGAAUUAACGAGUCGAUUAUAUCCGGGUCUUCUCGAACGUGAUUCAAAUUUGAUGUUCGCCCUUAAAUGUCGUCAAUUCGUCGAGAUGGUUAACGGCAGUGAUUCCGAAGUUUGCCAAAGUACGAAUGAUAAUCAAACGAGCGUUAUACAAUCCACCAAGACGUACACGAAAGCAUCCUCGAACGGUAACGUCGAAGAAAUGAAUUUCAACAACACGAUCAACGGAGCUGCGAGCGUCGAUCAACAAUUUAUCAAUGGUCAAAUCGAGGAGGACGUCGAUAUGGAAGACACUACGAACGCGACGAUUAACGGUGUCAAUAAAAAUAACACCAAUGGUUAUCAGAACGGUAAUCCAAGCUCAAAUGGUUUCAAAUGUCAAAAUGGCGAGGAUGUUGAUAUGGAAAUCGACAGUGCCAAUCAACAACAAAACGGUAAUUGCAGCGUAAGCAACGAAACGCCGAGUGGUAAAUGUAGCAAAAAACAAUUAUGCGGUGGCAACAAACAGGCGAUCGAAAAGAUGCUCGAGUUUGGAAGACAAUUGUAUUCACAAUCGAUACACUUACGACAGCAACACGGAAAGAACGAGGCAAACAAAAAAAUGCUUCAAGACGCCUUUAGUUUACUCGCUUAUUCGAGUCCGUGGAAUUCACCUGUCGGAUGGCAGUUAGACCCUCAACAAAGAGAAACCGUUUGCGGAAGACUCAAUUCCGCAAUACUUGAAUCGAGCAAUCUUCCUCGUAGACCACCACUCGAAGUAGCGGUAUCGCACGCACGAGAAUUGGUCCGUUUAAUGUCGAGCGCCGGUCUCGGCGCAUGUGGUUUUGCCGUAGUGGACAAUAUUAUUCAAUAUUGACGGUGCCUAUCUCUGCUGCCACGAGCGCCCCUUCUACCUGCCCGAGUGUGGAUACGGAGACGGAACGUGGAGCAGACGAUACAGUUGAGCCAGCAACGUCGCGAUGUAGACUCCAUCUUCAGCUAGUGGAAAAAAACAAACAAACAAAAAAUCAAAAAAACGUAAUGCGAGAAUACGAGAAACAUAAAACGAAAAAACUUUGAAACACGAUAUUUUGUCGGUGAUUUUACUCGGACCGAUCUCACACCACAAAGAAUAAGAAAAAAAGCAAAAAAAAUGUAAGCUACACACGACACAACGGGUAAAAAACGCUCAGGCCUGCCAGUCACAAGAUCGAGAAAAGAAAAGAAAGUGCAAAAAACAGAAAAAGAACCAAACGAGGACGAUCGGCGAGAUUUUUUUCUUUCUUUCAAUCCUGCUGGAUGAACAUGAACACUCUUGGAGGUCACGAUUUGGUCGCGGGCUUGCGGUUAACGUUGUUCCCUUAUUUCUCCUCAAUCUCAAACCUCCUUUUGAUCCUACGAUAUUCUAUUUUUUUUUCUUUUCUUUCAAUCUCCAGUUUUGACUCUUUCAAGUCUUCAAUUUUUCGUAUCCCUUUGUAAUAGCUCCAUGAUCGUUUCUCGGUUAGAUGUACAACGAGAUACACAUGCCACUCUGUUGAUUCGUCUAAAAAUCGGUAUUUUUAAAGGAAAACAGAAUUCUUAAAGGCAACAAAAAUCCCAUCUUCGUCAAAUUUUUUUAAAACGAAUUCGUCAAUAGAAAAAGCUUCAAAAUGAUUAUUUCGUGUCUACUUUUCAAAGUUCGAUUUUAUACUUUGCAUACUCGGUUUAAAGAUUGCGAGAGUGGAAACAAAAUUCAGUCCCUUUUCCUAAAUCCUCAAAGAUCCAUAAAUCCUUUAUCCGCGAUAUUCUCGUUUUCGGAGUUGUGCAAUAAUACUCACGAAUUGAAUCAAUAUUUCACUGAAUCCGAUGCAUCGAAAAGAAUUAGUCCAACUAUAUCAAAUAGGAAACAGGAUAAAAAACUGAUUUUUCACCCGAGCGAUGAAAAAUCUCGUGCGUAGAAAAAAGAAAUGAAAGAAAAAACCGGUCACGUUCAUUUUCGGGAUCCUGGAGGAGAUCCUCCUGAUCGAAAUUUUUCGGGCGUACCUCGGGGGAGGAGGAACGCGAGAACACGUUUCAACGGAAAACAUACGCGAAAUAAAAAUAAAAGAAAGUGGAAAACACAGAAUAAUAAUGUGAAAAGAAACGGAUGGACAGCAAGGAACGGACGAGGUCUAUAUAUAAGUAAUUAUGAGAAAGAGAGAGAGUUAGAGGAAGAAAAAGCAAAACAAGAAGAAUAAGAGGAAAAGAAUAAAGGAGGAUAAAAGAAAAAGAUAAAACGAGAACUUAACUAAAGACGAUCUUGUACUCUACAACUAAGUAAUUGUUUUUUAUAUGCGACAUAGUAUAUUAUUAUAUUAUAUAUUAUUAAAAAAUAAAUGAACAAAAAAAUGGAAGAAGUCGAUGCGAAGGAGAAGAGUGAAGGAAAGAAAAUAAUGAGAAGGAGAUAAAAGAUGAGAAAAUCGUAUGCAGAUAGACCGUAAGCGUGCGUUUAAAUACAAUAAUUUACUAUAUAUACAAAUCAUAUUAAAAAAGAUUAAAAACAAAAAAAAAGGAAAAAAAAGAAGAACGGAAAAGAUGAAAAAAAAUGACACGAUAAAUGAAAAACCACAGGAAAUUCAAUAGGUGUAACUCGAAACGAUGAAAAAACAACCAACAAACAAAUAACUUUUAGUGUUAUGUUUUAUGUACUAUAGAUAGUUGCUACGAUAAUGAUAUGAGCGAAUACAGCAAUGAUUUGGACGAGA
rnacentral:misc_RNA from 1 species